rnacentral:rRNA from 1 species
GACGAACGCUGGCGGCGUGCUUAACACAUGCAAGUCGAACGGAAAGGCCCUGCUUUUGUGGGGUGCUCGAGUGGCGAACGGGUGAGUAACACGUGAGUAACCUGCCCUUGACUUUGGGAUAACUUCAGGAAACUGGGGCUAAUACCGGAUAGGAGCUCCUGCUGCAUGGUGGGGGUUGGAAAGUUUCGGCGGUUGGGGAUGGACUCGCGGCUUAUGAGCUUGUUGGUGGGGUAGUGGCUUACCAAGGCUUUGACGGGUAGCCGGCCUGAGAGGGUGACCGGCCACAUUGGGACUGAGAUACGGCCCAGACUCCUACGGGAGGCAGCAGUGGGGAAUAUUGCACAAUGGGCGGAAGCCUGAUGCAGCAACGCCGCGUGCGGGAUGACGGCCUUCGGGUUGUAAACCGCUUUCGCCUGUGACGAAGCGUGGGUGACGGUAAUGGGUAAAGAAGCACCGGCUAACUACGUGCCAGCCGCCGCCGUAAGAC